UUCCAACCUCAGUGUUGUCUCCUCUUUUUUCAACCUCAGAGUUGUCGUCGCUUAUCGUAUUACCCCGACCUCAGAGUUGUAUGUUGCCUGUCCUUACCCCAACCUCAGAGUUGUUGUCAGCGUUGAGAUUUACUAUUCUCUUCCCAACCUCCGAGUUAACGCCUACCUUUGUUACCAGCCUCAGAGUUGAACAACUACAUUUUUCCAACUUCAGAGUUGGUGUAUCUCUUUCCAGCAUCAGAGCUUAGACCCCACUUU
rnacentral:lncRNA from 1 species